rnacentral:ncRNA from 1 species
UGUGUUGAGGCGCAGUAGUUGACUGGACAUCUAGGGGUAAAGCAUUGUUUCGGUGCAAGCCGUGAAAGCGGUACCAAAUCAAGGCAAACUUUAAAUACUAGAUAUGACCUCAAAAUAACAAGGGUCGAGGUCAGCCAGUGAGACGAUGGGGGAUAAGCUUCAUCGUCGAGAGGAAAACAGCCC